rnacentral:rRNA from 1 species
GAGUUUGAUCCUGGCUCCAGAUUGAACGCUGGCGGCAUCGCCUUACACAUGCAAGUCGAACGGCAGCACGGGAGCUUGCUCCUGGUGGGCGAGUGGCGAACGGGUGAGUAAUGCAUCGGAACGUAUCCUGGAGUGGGGGAUAACGUAGCGAAAGUUACGCUAAUACCGCAUAUUCUGUGAGCAGGAAAGCGGGGGACCUUCGGGCCUCGCGCUCUUGGAGCGGCCGAUGUCGGAUUAGCUAGUUGGUGAGGUAAAGGCUCACCAAGGCGACGAUCCGUAGCAGGUCUGAGAGGAUGAUCUGCCACACUGGAACUGAGACACGGUCCAGACUCCUACGGGAGGCAGCAGUGGGAAUUUUGGACAAUGGGGGCAACCCUGAUCCAGCCAUGCCGCGUGAGUGAAGAAGGCCUGGUUCGUAAG